AAAGCUGUCUAGUUAUAAGCAAUUAUACCGUGAAACUGCGAAUGGCUCAUUAAAUCAGUUAUCGUUUAUUUGAUAGUACCUUACUACUUGGAUAACCGUGGUAAUUCUAGAGCUAAUACAUGCUAAAAACCCCAACUUCGGGAGGGGUGUAUUUAUUAGAUAAAAAACCAAUGCCCUUCGGGGCUCCUUGGUGAUUCAUGAUAACUUCUCAGAUCGCAUGGCUUUACGCCGGCGACGGUUCAUUCAAAUUUCUGCCCUAUCAACUUUCGAUGGUAAGGUAGUGGCUUACCAUGGUUUCAACGGGUAACGGGGAAUUAGGGUUCGAUUCCGGAGAGGGAGCCUGAGAAACGGCUACCACAUCCAAGGAAGGCAGCAGGCGCGCAAAUUACCCAAUUCCGAUACGGAGAGGUAGUGACAAUAAAUACUGAUACAGGGCUCUUUUGGGUCUUGUAAUUGGAAUGAGUACAAUUUAAACCUCUUAACGAGGAACAAUUGGAGGGCAAGUCUGGUGCCAGCAGCCGCGGUAAUUCCAGCUCCAAUAGCGUAUAUUAAAGUUGUUGCAGUUAAAAAGCUCGUAGUUGAACCUUUGGCCUGGCUGGCAGGUCCGCCUCACCGCGUGCACUUGUCCGGCCGGGCCUUUUCUUCUGGAGAACCGCAUGCCCUUCACUGGGUGUGUUGGGGACCAGGACUUUUACUUUGAAAAAAUUAGAGUGUUCAAAGCAGGCCUUUGCUCGAAUACGUUAGCAUGGAAUAAUAGAAUAGGACGUGCGGUCCUAUUUUGUUGGUUUCUAGGACCGCCGUAAUGAUUAAUAGGGACAGUCGGGGGCAUCAGUAUUCAAUUGUCAGAGGUGAAAUUCUUGGAUUUAUUGAAGACUAACUACUGCGAAAGCAUUUGCCAAGGAUGUUUUCAUUAAUCAGUGAACGAAAGUUAGGGGAUCGAAGACGAUCAGAUACCGUCGUAGUCUUAACCAUAAACUAUGCCGACUAGGGAUCGGGCGGGGUUCUAUUGUGACCCGCUCGGCACCUUACAAAAAAUCAAAGUGUUUGGGUUCUGGGGGAAUAUGGUCCCAAGCUGAAACUUAACAAAUUGACGGAAGGGCACCACAAGGCUGGAACCUGCGGUUAAUUUGACUCAAACCGGGAAAAUCACCAGGGCCCCUAAAAAAAGGGAUGGGAAAAUGGAGAUCUUUUUUUUUUUUUUUUGGGUGGUGGGGGGGUUUUAACCCCGGGAAAAUUUUGUGUUGGGGAAAAAAAAAAACACAAACCCCCAAAAAAAAGGGGGGGGGUGGGGGCGGCCGCUUUAUAAAGAAAUCUCUUCCCGAAAAAAUUUUUAAUGGGGGGUGCCUCUAAAAAGAGGGCCCCCCCUUUAAUAUAAACAUUUUUUUUGUCAAAAAAAAAAAAUAA
rnacentral:rRNA from 1 species